UGUGAUAUCUGUGACUUCUCAAUCACUGUGAUUUCUAACAUACGCGAUUUCCUGCCCACCACUAUCCAUAACAUACUUCGAGUCUUUUGUCUUGUUCUGUGCGUCGAGCUGAAUGAGUUGUGUUGUGGUUAAGCGUUACCGAGUGUUUUUAGUGAAAAUGGCGGAAUUUAUGUAUCUUGAAAGGCGAAAGAAGAUAUACGUAGUAUGCAGGAACACAGAAGAAAGGAACUGUUUGUAUAGUUUGUAUAGAAUUAACAGUGAAAACAUUAAUUGGCUGGCGAAUCACUUUUUUCUGGAAAAUCACGAAAGAAGAGGAGGCGCCCUUUCCAAUGACUGCAAAAUGAAACAUUUUUGCGCUAUUUAGCGGAUCCAGGCUUUCAGAUUGGUGUAGGAGAAGAUUUGGGAGUGCACCAGACCAUAGUAACACUAACAUUUUCGUAUGUUCUGCAACAGGUUAACAGAAAAGCACCGUUGUGUAUCCGAUUUCCAAGAAACAUUAACGAACUAGAAACAGCGAAAGUUAAAUGGCAAUCGAGAUACAAGUUUCCAUGUGCGGUAGGGGCCCUAGACUGCACUCACAUACCUAUAAUGAAACCUCCCUCACAUGGAGACGAAUAUGUUAAUCGAAAGGGCUUUCCAUCUAUGAACGUGCAGGCGACGUGUGAUAACAGUGAAAUGUUUACGAGUGGUGAUACUUCAUGGCCUGUGUCUGUACAUGACGCUAGGAUAUGGAGAAACUCGGAUGUGUAUCGUAUAUUGCAAGAGAACCAGUGCAACUCCCUAAUUUUACGAGACGAAAGAUAUGGCAUUGCACUGUGGUUAAUGACACCGUUUCAAAAUCCCGAAACACCUGAUGAGAGGGCAUACAACAGACUUCACUCUAAGGAAAGGCUGAUAAUCGAACGGUGCUUUGGACAGGUGAAAAGGCGUUUCCCAAAUCUGCAAAAUAAAGAAAAUAUUGCCCAAACAAAAAUCCCCAGUGUGAUAAUAGCCUGUUUUGGUUUGCACAACGUAGCAAAACAUAUAGGGCAUAAGGAUUUUGAGGCACCUAAUGAUGACAACAAUCUUCCAGUACUGGGAGAAGAGGAAGCAGCAAACGUACGUGUAUGUGGAACAAAUAGAAGACGGGAAAUUAAGUAUUCAAAGUGAACUGCUGGAACCUUAACGUAAUUUCUGUACUGUAACUUCAGCAGAUUGAUGACCACAAGUUUUUGUUUUACUUUACCAAAAAUGUUCCAAGGAUGUGGUGAAGGUAUUUGCCAGGUGCUACAGUAAAUAAGUCACAGCUGUCUUCCCUGCAGUAUUUAAAAUACAAUCAAGUUACUCUUUUUGCUUUACUGUACCAAAAAUUAGUGGUGAAGGUAUUUGCCAGUAAUUAAGUCCAAAGCUGUCUAACCUGCAACAUUAAAAAUACAAACAAUUUAUUCUUUUUGUUUUACUUUACCAGGAAUUGUUUCAAGGAAGUGGUGAAGAUAUUUGCCAGGUGCUACAGUAAAUAAGUGCACAACUGUCUAACCUGCAGCAUUUAAAAUAGAAACAAGUUACUCAUUUUGCUUUACUUUACCAGAAAUUGUUUCAAGGAUGUGGUGAAGAUAUUUGCCAGGUGCUACAGUAAAUAAGUGCACAACUGUCUAACCUGCAGAAUUUAAAAUAGAAACAAGUUACUCCCUUUGCUUUACUUUACCAAAAAUUGUUUCAAGGAUGUGGUGAACCUAUUGGCCGGACACAACCAUGUGUAUUCUAAUGGCGGUCAGACAGUGUCCAGGGAUUGGCCUGCUCAGGAAGGCCAUCUUGUUUAUGAAUCGGCAAUAAGGCGCCAACCUAUUGAGGGCAGUUUUCCGGAUUUAGUGGCCCGUUUGCGCACUGCCGUUCUUCAUCCCAUUGACGUCACACUGGUGGUGGUGGGUGACAGAGGAGCGGCCAUUGAAUUUUUGUUUAAGACUGUUAGAGGCCUUGCGAACACUAUUUGUGUUUUGGAAGGAACCCAACCUAGUGACAGACAGCUGGACAGGGUGCGGGCGCAGUUAAUGCAUUUAACUAGUCAGAUAGUGGAUUUGGGCAUGUUAGUCUUGGAAGAUCAUCAUAAAAAAACUAAUAGUUGAAUUGGGAACUUUGGUUAGCACAUUACAGUUUAAGCUUGUGUGUUUAGAGUUGGAUGGGAAGAAGAUUGAAGGUUACAUCCUCUGUCAAGUUAGACGCAAUAUUUACCAAGUUGCCAAAUCCUCUGGCUAUUUCUUCUGAGAUAUUACUGAAUUAGUUGUGGAGUGACUUGAACAGGUCGAGAAAUUAUUAUGGUUGUUGGUUCGCCUUGAACAACACGUGGCUACCUUUCGCGUUCCACACCAAGUAAUUUUGUCACUGUUGUACCCGCUGGCUAGAGGUGAGUUGCAGAACCUCCUCUCGCAAGCCAUGGCUGAAGGGUUCUCCUUACAGCAAUUGAGGGAGCUCGUGAUUACGCACAGGUUGACCACCGGAGUUCAAAAACAUCUUGAGUGUCGUUACAUUUGGGAAGUGCAGUGCGAUAAGGAGCAGUUACAUCAGUAUGUUGAUAGAGUUCAGUCGGCCUCCUUGGCCUUGUUAAUUAAUUUGCCUGAACAAGAAUUGGUGUCUAUUGUUCUUAGGGGAAUUCGGGUGGCGGAUAAGUCACGUUUUGUCUUCCAUAAGCAGCCUUCAACCUGGGAAGAGCUCCGUGACGUGGUUGAAGCAGUAUUGGCAUUGCCACCUGGAAACGAUGUAUGUCACCAUGUUACGUGGCAGGUCAUCGGUGCUCGCUCCCAAGUCUCUAUAUCUGCUGGAGUCAUUAGAAGGGAACCCCAGCAUUGUUUCAGGAGCAGCAGUACGGCUCAUUUGGUGCACUCUUGCGUUCAGUCUCGGGCACCCAGAGCCAAUAAAUGAUGCCGGACUGGGCAGCAACCUCGGGAUCGAGCCUUUAGACCCUGGCGUACCUGUGUUGUCGCUCCCUCAUCACCACCCUUGUCUUACAUUUGUUUUGAGUAGGUGGUAAACCGAUUUGUGCUCUUUUGGAUUCUGGUAGCUCCUUUUCAUUAUUGAGCUUCGAGUGGUCUUUGGAAUUUGGGCAUCUUACGAAACUUUGGUUGGCCCCUUCUCCGGUGCAGAGACGUCAGGUGGCCAAUGGCCAAGUGGUGGUGGUAGUGGUGGUUAGUGUUUAACGUCCCGCCGACAAUAAGGUCAUUAGAGAUGGAGCGCAAGCUCGGGUUAGGAAAGGAUUGGGAAGGAAAUCGGCUGUGCCCUUUCAAAGGAAC